AUACGGAGGGGGCUAGCGUUGUUCGGAAUUACUGGGCGUAAAGGGCGCGUAGGCGGAUUAUCAAGUCAGAGGUGAAAGCCCUGGGCUCAACCUAGGAACUGCCUUUGAAACUGAUAGUCUUGAGUCCGAGAGAGGAUGGCGGAAUUCCCAGUGUAGAGGUGAAAUUCGUAGAUAUUGGGAAGAACACCAGUGGCGAAGGCGGCCAUCUGGCUCGGUACUGACGCUGAGGCGCGAAAGCGUGGGGAGCAAACAGGAUUAGAAACCCCAGUAGUCC
rnacentral:rRNA from 1 species